CCUACGGGUGGCAGCAGUGAGGAAUAUUGGUCAAUGGACGAGAGUCUGAACCAGCCAAGUAGCGUGAAGGAUGAAUGCCCUAUGGGUUGUAAACUUCUUUUAUAUGGGAAUAAAAUGUUCCACGUGUGGGAUUUUGUAUGUACCAUAUGAAUAAGGAUCGGCUAACUCCGUGCCAGCAGCCGCGGUAAUACGGAGGAUCCGAGCGUUAUCCGGAUUUAUUGGGUUUAAAGGGGGCGUAGGUGGAUUGUUAAGUCAGUUGUGAAAGUUUGGGGCUCAACCGUAAAAUUGCAGUUGAAACUGGCAGUCUUGAGAACAGUAGAGGUGGGCGGAAUUCGUGGUGUAGCGGUGAAAUGCUUAGAUAUCACGAAGAACUCCGAUUGCGAAGGCAGUUCACUGGACUGCAACUGACACUGAGGCUCGAAAGUGUGGGUAUCAAACAGGAUUAGAUACCCUUGUAGUC
rnacentral:rRNA from 1 species